GUUGUGUUUGCUAUUUAUUGUCUGCUUUUCAGACAUGGUAGCCAAGGCUACUAUGUGGCACCGCUUUUUAGCGGUGCUUUUUUUG
rnacentral:other from 1 species